rnacentral:rRNA from 1 species
UACGUAGGGUGCGAGCGUUGUCCGGAAUUAUUGGGCGUAAAGAGCUCGUAGGCGGUUUGUCGCGUCGACUGUGAAAACCCGAGGCUUAACCUCGGGCCUGCAGUCGAUACGGGCAGACUAGAGUUCGGUAGGGGAGACUGGAAUUCCUGGUGUAGCGGUGAAAUGCGCAGAUAUCAGGAGGAACACCGGUGGCGAAGGCGGAUCUCUGGGCCUUGCCUGACGCUGAGGCGCGAAAGCUAGGGGAGCGAACAGG